AUACGUAGGUGGCAAGCGUUGUCCGGAAUUAUUGGGCGUAAAGCGCAUGUAGGCGGUUUGGUAAGUCGGUCGUGAAAAUGCGGUGCUUCACGCCGUAUGGCGAUUGAAACUGCUGAACUUGAGUGCAGGAGAGGAAAGGAGAACUCCCAGUGUAGCGGUGAAAUGCGUAGAUAUUGGGAAGAACACCGGUGGCGAAGGCGCCUUUCUGGACUGUGUCUGACGCUCAGAUGCGAAAGCCAGGGUAGCGAACGGGAUUAGAUACCCCGGUAGUCCUGGCCGUAAACGAUGGGUACUAGGUGUGGGAGGUAUCGACUCCUUCCGUGCCGGAGUUAACGCAAUAAGUACCCCGCCUGGGGAGUACGGCCGCAAGGCUUAAACUUAAAGGAAUUGACGGGG
rnacentral:rRNA from 1 species